CAGCACCAGAUGCCUCUGUUCCGGAAGAAGAUGGUGUGGGAAAUCCUUCAUCAGCAGUUGCUGUACUGAGCUGUCAGAAGUGCAUGAAGGCCUCUCUCUGCACCCUGGUCCUGACUUGGUGUGCAGCGGGCUGCUUGCAACCCUGUUUAUAAGGCUGUGCCUGCUCAGAGCCCUGGACUAUCAACCCACACAAGAACAUAUGCUAAUUAAUACUUUUUUUUAAAGAUUUUUUUUUUCUCUAUGAACGUGGGAAGUGCAGAUUUUAUUUUAUGAUUUGUUUUUUCUUUG
rnacentral:lncRNA from 1 species